GAUGGAGCUAUUGAGCAUCGCACGCGUAAUGCGAAAACGUGUGUUCGUUCCCCACCUACGGACAGUUGUUUUGUCAUCCACUUUAUUGUUAAUA
rnacentral:lncRNA from 1 species